rnacentral:rRNA from 1 species
CGAACGGUUGUCAGCAAUGGCAAUAGUGGCGCACGGGUGCGUAACGCGUAACCAACCUACCCGAAUCUGGGGGAUAGCCCGCCGAAAGGCGGAUUAAUACCGCAUAAAACUGCAGGACGGCAUCGUUUAACAGUUAAAGAUUUAUUGGAUUCGGAUGGGGUUGCGUGCCAUUAGCUAGUUGGGGGGGUAACGGCCCACCAAGGCGACGAUGGCUAGGGGAGCUGAGAGGCUGGUCCCCCACACGGGCACUGAGAUACGGGCCCGACUCCUACGGGAGGCAGCAGUAGGGAAUAUUGGGCAAUGGUCGAGAGACUGACCCAGCCAUGCCGCGUGCAGGAUGAAGGCUUUCUGAGUCGUAAACUGCUUUUGCCAGGGAAAAAAAAAGGGGAUGCGUCCUCUACUGACGGUACCUGGUGAAUAAGCACCGGCUAACUCCGUGCCAGCAGCCGCGGUAAUACGGAGGGUGCAAGCGUUGUCCGGAUUUAUUGGGUUUAAAGGGUGCGUAGGCGGCUUUUUAAGUCUGGGGUGAAAGCCCGUUGCUCAACAACGGAACUGCCCUGGAAACUGGAGAGCUUGAGUACAGACGAGGGUGGCGGAAUGGAUACUGUAGCGGUGAAAUGCAUAGAUAGUAUCCAGAACCCCGAUUGCGAAGGCAGCUGCCUAGACUGUAACUGACGCUGAGGCACGAAAGCGUGGGGAGCGAACAGGAUUAGAUACCCU